rnacentral:rRNA from 1 species
UAGGGUGCAGGCGUUAAUCGGAAUUACUGGGCGUAAAGCGCACGCAGGCGGUCUGUCAAGUCGGAUGUGAAAUCCCCGGGCUCAACCUGGGAACUGCAUUCGAAACUGGCAGGCUAGAGUCUUGUAGAGGGGGGUAGAAUUCCAGGUGUAGCGGUGAAAUGCGUAGAGAUCUGGAGGAAUACCGGUGGCGAAGGCGGCCCCCUGGACAAAGACUGACGCUCAGGUGCGAAAGCGUGGGGAGCAAACAGGAUUAGAUACCCUGGUAGUCCACGCCGUAAACGAUGUCGAUUUGGAGGUUGUGCCCUUGAGGCGUGGCUUCCGGAGCUAACGCGUUAAAUCGACCGCCUGGGGAGUACGGCCGCAAGGUUAAAACUCAAAUGAAUUGACGGGGGCCCGCACAAGCGGUGGAGCAUGUGGUUUAAUUCGAUGCAACGCGAAGAACCUUACCUGGUCUUGACAUCCACAGAUCCCA